rnacentral:rRNA from 1 species
UACGAAGGGGGCUAGCGUUGCUCGGAAUCACUGGGCGUAAAGCGCACGUAGGCGGACUCUUAAGUCGGUGGUGAAAUCCUGGAGCUCAACUCCAGAACUGCCUUUGAUACUGAAGAUCUUGAGUUCGGGAGAGGUGAGUGGAACUGCGAGUGUAGAGGUGAAAAUUUCGUAGAUAUUCGCAAAGAACACCAGUGGCGAAGGCGGCUCACUGGCCCGAUACUGACGCUGAGGCACGGAAAAGCGUGGGGGAGCAAACAGGG